rnacentral:rRNA from 1 species
UACGACGGGGACUAGCGUUGUUCGGAAUUACUGGGCGUAAAGCGCACGUAGGCGGCUUUCUAAGUCGGGGGUGAAAUCCUGGAGCUCAACUCCAGAACUGCCUUCGAUACUGGAAAGCUCGAGUCCGGGAGAGGUGAGUGGAACUGCGAGUGUAGAGGUGAAAUUCGUAGAUAUUCGCAAGAACACCAGUGGCGAAGGCGGCUCACUGGCCCGGUACUGACGCUGAGGUGCGAAAGCGUGGGGAGCAAACAGG